rnacentral:rRNA from 1 species
UACGUAGGGUGCGAGCGUUAAUCGGAAUUACUGGGCGUAAAGCGUGCGCAGGCGGUCAUGCAAGACAGAUGUGAAAUCCCCGGGCUUAACCUGGGAAUUGCAUUUGUGACUGCAUGGCUAGAGUGUGGCAGAGGGGGAUGGAAUUCCGCGUGUAGCAGUGAAAUGCGUAGAUAUGCGGAGGAACACCGAUGGCGAAGGCAGUCCCCUGGGCCUGCACUGACACUCAUGCACGAAAGCGUGGGGAGCAAACAGG